CAUCAGAAUGUAAUGGUAGGCAAUAUUAUUAGUAAAGGGGGAGGAACAGUUCCUAGAGAAUCAGAAAAUUAAUGUUAUUCUGUCGUCUUGGGGAGGAAUCUGUCCACUUUCUGAAGUCAGUGACGCCUGGAAGGCUGCUAAGAACCCUCAAUUUAAGGUCUUCAGAUGGAGUGGAUACCCAGUAUACAGCAGGAUGUGAUGGGGAACAACAACUCAAGGAUCAACACUCUGGAGUUUUACUGGAGAUUUUAGUUGUUAAUAGUACCUGGUAAACUUUUUUCUUUCUUUCUUUUGUUAACCUAGGCUCAAGGGCAGAUUUUUCGGAUGCUUAUUUCAGAAGACCGAGGAGUCUCCAGGUUGCAGAUCAUGUAAAGGCUAUUUAGUGUUAGACAAGAGCCCACUCUCGGGUCCUGAAAGGGGUCCCCCUUCCAGCAACAACUGGCAAUCACAAAGGGACCCCUGUUUACUGUGGCUGACACCCCGACCACUCAGGGUACUCAAGAACCAGCUCGCAUGCUGACGGAGCAGACCCAGCAACCACAACCGGGACCCCUUUGUCCCUGAUCUCUUUCCUGAACAAUGGCUGGAGUGCCUCGACCAGUACUGGACUCAGGAGUCUGAUUGAAGGGCCUCAGCCUGAGCUGAGGAUCACAGCUUGAUCACCUCCAGUUGGCAGAGAACUCGAAUUCUGGUUCUGGUCUGAUCUCUGGUUUCUGGUAGGGCUGAGUUCCAGUCCUCCUUUCCUGGAAGCCCAGGAGAAAAUUCCCAUAGCAUCUGGGCAUCUGCAGGUGGCAAGACGACGGUAAGGCCACUCCUUCUUUUUUUUUUUUUUUCCCUCAU